GGGGGUUUGUAUUCACAUCCAGCUAUGUGCGAGCCCUUUGCCCAAAUUAAGAACUGAAAAGGGCGAAAGAGCCAGAAGGACAAGUGAAGUCAUGAGGACUCAGCCGCAGAGCACAGCAUGGAGCCCUUUUUCACAUCUUGAGAGGCAAAUCUUGGGACUUGCACACACAUCUUUCUCAUCUGGCUUCUGUGUCCAGAGGCUGAUGAAGAACCUGGGUGCACAAAGCAGUGACGUGAGGCCCCAUGACCUGUGUUCUCAGAGACCAAGCUUCUCACUUAGGCUACUAGCAUUUGGCUUUGGGCAAGUCACUACACAUCUUUGGAUGCAGUUGUGUCAUUUCUUCCUCUAGGCAGAGCCAUGGACCGAAAGUAACAAAACCUAGAUUCUCACUUUGGCCCUCCUACACCAGGCAGUUCACAUAUUCUAGGCAGAUGCUUAUGUUUUUCUGCUAAUUCAACCCCCCUUUCUCCUUUGUCCCUCUUUUUCAGUAAAAUGUGAUCCACUCCUACUUCUCACAUAUACACAUAUAGUCGGUCAAAACAACAACAAAAACAACAACAACAAAACAUUCCCUUCCAACACCAUCAAUUCAUAGAAUCAUGAAUGGGGAGGGAAAAUGCUUAUUCAAAUUUCCAGAAAUGCUGGGAAGGUUUGGGAGUAAGAUUUCAUUCUGAAAAGGGGCUCACUUUUCCCCACCCUUCCCUUACUGUUCUGAAUCAGGCAUACUGCCUCCUAUGCGCAGAAGGAAAUGGUCCUCUUAUUAACUGGGACCUCCAAUCACAUGCUAUGUUCUAGAGAUUAGAGUAGACUUCUCACAAGAGGUAAUUUAGUUAACAAAUAUGCAUUAUAUUUCCAGGAGAGCUCAUGCUUUAAUCACCAUGCUAUGUACUGCAUAUACAUAUCUCUCUUUUAAACCUCACAACCUUCAGAUAGAUUAAAUGACUUGCCCAGGGUCACAGAGCUAGUACCUAAUGCCAUCAGACUUCAUGUCCAGGCAGCCUCAAACCUUCAUCAUCAUCUCAUGCAUCCUCUCAGAAAGAAUGAGUCUGACUUUCAUGUGGCUACCCUCAGGAAUGUUAAACCUGAAGAUCUUUUCCUUUGUUUCCACUUUAACAGUUAA